rnacentral:rRNA from 1 species
UACGUAGGGGGCAAGCGUUGUCCGGAAUCAUUGGGCGUAAAGAGCGUGUAGGCGGCCCGAUAAGUCCGCUGUGAAAGUCCAGGGCUCAACCCUGGAAUGCCGGUGGAUACUGUCGGGCUCGAGUCCGGAAGAGGAGUGUGGAAUUCCUGGUGUAGCGGUGAAAUGCGCAGACUAUCAGGAGGAACACCAAUGGCGAAGGCAGCACUCUGGGACGUGACUGACGCUGAGACGCGAAAGCGUGGGGAGCAAACAGG